AGAAAAGUAAAAGUUAUGUAAGCGGAACCGUUUAUAUUUUCUGACUCACCCCCACCCACACACAACAACAACGAACCCUGCACCUUUGCCAUUUUCAGGGGGUUUGUUCCGCUUUGUUCUAAAAGCAAGGAUCAGAUGCCGGCAGCUUCGCACUCAAAUGAAGAAGUAGGCGAGAGCCGUUCGUUUCCAACGUCGGUCGUGGCCUCUGGUUCUGGCUGGCCUGGGUCCGACGGCUGUAUCAGUCUGACAGUACGAGCCCAGGAUAUAUUGCUACUUCCACCGGGAACCCGAGGUGAAAAUCGGUUCUCAUCCCGCUCCCCGGGCUCAGGAAGUGGAUCUUCGGUGGUGGCGCCGGAAAUACACUGGUACACUCAGGGUUUACAGACAGAGCAGCCGCUCGCUAGUCGUAAUCUCUUAUAGACGCUGAGGACAACUAUUAAGCCUCCUCCGUCCGAAUCAGUCUGCAGGGGCACGGUUUCCGUCUGCAUGGCCGUCAGUGCUGUAGCCGCCACUCCUAUCUCCGGUGAGCUCUCUCCUUCUCUCUUCUUCCUCUCCAAUGGCAUCAUGAUGGACAGCUCGUCGAGGCAGGCCGUGGCGAAGGGGUGCGACAGCACGCUGCGGCGCGUGUCGAGCACCUUGUUGAAAUGGCGCACGGCCUCGCCGGGGAGGCCGGCGUCCAGCGCCGCCACCGCGGCGGCGGCGGAGGAGCUUCACGUGCGGCAGCAGCUGCGACACGGACUCCGCCCUUGUAUUGGCGGGCGCCAGCAGGUUCGACGGGGGCAAGAAGCGGCGGUUGGGCAUGUGGUGGCGGAGCGAGUGGAGGUCCCCGCCGGGGCAGAACUCCGUGACGACGCAGGAGAAGUGCGGCGCAGCGUCGAAGUCGGCGAAGAGCGUGGGCAGGACUUUUAUUUAGAUUUCGGUUCCGAGCUGCUGCUGCUAGUGCGUGAGCCAUCGGUCGAUAAUUUCCGGAACAGAACACCUCUUGUGCCUGUUCGAGAAGUUCUGACGGGACUCUACUCCACGUGGCUCUUCCGUGCCCAUAAAAUUAGUGGAGUCUAGAUUCGAUCUGGACACCGCGUUGAAUCGGUGGUGGAUGUAAUGAAAGAAGGCCGCCCAAUGCCGCGUGAGCUGAACGGAGCCAGACGAGCAGGAUGAGGAGGACGAGGCGGUGGUGGCGUCGUCGGCCGAGCACGACUUGGCGCAGUAGCUGGGGAUGUAGUCGCAGAGCAUGUCGGCGACGUCACGGUUGCGCGAGGAGAGCCCGCGCCCGGAGCUCCAGCGCCGCGCGAGUAGCUGACUCGUACGACGCCGCGCGAGCAGCUGUCGUAGCUGCAGCAGAAGCUCAUUCGGCGACCAUCAUACACAAGCAGCCGCUCCUCCUUUGCCUGGAAGAAUGCUCGGAGUGGUACAAGGUUCGGAUGGCGCAGUCGGCCAACAACAUCCAUGUUCUGCUCGAACGCCUCUGCUUCCCGUGCUGCUGGGCCAAUCUCGGCGGCGUCCAGCCUCUUCAUCGCAAUCAUGGCGUAGACAAGAAGCGCGGCGAGGACAGACCCGGCAGCGACCGCGACGGCCAAUUUGGUCAUCCUCCGCCUCGCUCUCUUCGCAUUUGGCACGGACGAAUCCGGCACGCUCAGGUUCUCCUGCUGCGGCCCGCUGUCGCUAGCAGCAGCGUCUGCACAGGGGGAGUGGCGGUACCGUUCGCGCCGCCCCCGUGGAAGAAGAGGAGGUGGGAGCCGCGGCGGACCACUUCGUCGCAAAGGUUGGCGUCGAGACGGAGGAGGGUGAGGUGCAGGAAGGCGGCCUCGAGCGGAGAAUCGAGAAGGUGUUGUUUGACUGCGUCCUCUUCUUCGUCCGGCUGGAAGGGGUGCUCGGUGUCGGCGUCGGCGGGGCAGGGCGGUAGCGGUGGAACUGCGACCCGAGCAGUAACGGCGCUGAAGACGGGAACGGUGGCUGCCCUGACUGAUCCUCACGGUGGAGGAUUAAUCACUGUCGAACGCGUCUAAGAGAGAGCUCAAGUCCAUAUCGGCGUAUGUGCGUUGUGUGAAUCUCUAAAUCAUCCAAGACCUCGUCUACGCCUCUAUUUCGUUG